AGGUGAAAUUUGGUCGCUCAGGUGUAAUUUGGCUUCGUGUAAAAUUAUUUUGAAGCUAUUAAGUUUUAGGUAUAAAACAGGAUUAGAUACCCUGCUAUACUUUAAUUAAAGUUGGUGAUUUGAGUAGUAAACAGUUAUGUUCUUUAAACUUAAAGAAUUUGGCGGUAUUUUAGUCUUGUUAGAGGAACCUGUUCCGUAAACGAUAUUCCACGUAUAAUCUUACUCUUCUUUGUAAUUCAGUUUGUAUACCGCCAUUAUUAGAUAGUUUUAUAAAAAUUUGUUUUAAUCGUUUGAGUUAAUAUAUUAGGUCAAGGUGCAGCUUAUAGGGGAGCGGGCAAUGGGUUACAUUAUAAUGUGUUGAGACGGAUAAGUAGGGGUAUUUCUACUUGGAAGAUGGAUUUAAUAGUAAGGUUGUUUUAAUAUGGCACCCUGAUAGUGGCUCUAAAAUAUGUA
rnacentral:rRNA from 1 species